rnacentral:rRNA from 1 species
AAACCAACAGGGAUUGCCUCAGUAACGGCGAGUGAAGCGGCAACAGCUCAAAUUUGAAAUCUGGCCCCAGGCCCGAGUUGUAAUUUGUAGAGGAUGCUUUUGGCGACGUGCCUUCCGAGUUCCCUGGAACGGGACGCCACAGAGGGUGAGAGCCCCGUCCGGUCGCGCACAUAGCCUCUGUAAAGCUCCUUCGACGAGUCGAGUAGUUUGGGAAUGCUGCUCUAAAUGGGAGGUAUACGUCUUCUAAAGCUAAAUAUAGGCCAGAGACCGAUAGCGCACAAGUAGAGUGAUCGAAAGAUGAAAAGCACUUUGAAAAGAGAGUUAAAUAGUACGUGAAAUUGUUGAAAGGGAAGCGCUUAUGACCAGACUUGGGCUCGGUAUUUCUCCCAGCGUUCUCGCUGGGCUGCUUUGCCGGCCCAGGCCAGCAUCAGUUCGCGCCGGGGGACAAAGGCUUCGGGAACGUAGCUCUUCGGAGUGUUAUAGCCCGUCGCGUAAUACCCUGGGGCGGACUGAGGUUCGCGCAUCUGCAUGGAUGCUGGCGUAAUGGUCAUCAGUGACCCGUCUUGAAACACGGACCAAGGAGUCGUCUUCGUAUGCGAGUGUUUGGGUGUCAAACCCUCACGCGGAAUGAAAGUGAACGUAGGAGAGAGCCUCGGCGCAUCUCCGACCGAUCCUGAUGUUCUCGGAUGGAUUUGAGUAAGAGCAUACGGGGCCGGACCCGAAAGAAGGUGAACUAUGCCUGUGUAGGGUGAAGCCAGAGGAAACUCUGGUGGAGGCUCGCAGCGGUUCUGACGUGCAAAUCGAUCGUCAAACAUGGGCAUGGGGGCGAAAGACUAAUCG